UACGUAGGGUGCAAGCGUUAUUCGGAAUCACUGGGCGUAAAGGGUGCGUAGGCGGGUCUUUAAGUCAGGGGUGAAAUCCUGGAGCUCAACUCCAGAACUGCCUUUGAUACUGAGGAUCUUGAGUUCGGGAGAGGUGAGUGGAACUGCGAGUGUAGAGGUGAAAUUCGUAGAUAUUCGCAAGAACACCAGUGGCGAAGGCGGCUCGCUGGCCCGGUACUGACGCUGAGGCACGAAAGCGUGGGGAGCAAACAGG
rnacentral:rRNA from 1 species